GACGAACGCUGGCGGCGUGCUUAACACAUGCAAGUCGAACGAAGAGCGAUGGAAGCUUGCUUCUAUCAAUCUUAGUGGCGAACGGGUGAGUAACGCGUAAUCAACCUGCCCUUCAGAGGGGGACAACAGUUGGAAACGACUGCUAAUGCCGCAUACGAUCUGACCUCGGCAUCGAGGAUAGAUGAAAGGUGGCCGCUAUUUAUAAGCUAUCACUGAAGGAGGUGAUUGGGGCUGAUUAGCUAGUUGGAUGGGUAACGGCCCACCAAUGCGAUGAUCAGUAGCCGGUCUGAGAGGAUGAACGGCCACAUUGGGACUGAGACACGGCCCAGACUCCUACGGGAGGCAGCAGUGGGGAAUCUUCCGCAAUGGACGAAAGUCUGACGGAGCAACGCCGCGUGAGUGAUGACGGCCUUCGGGUUGUAAAGCUCUGUUAAUCGGGACGAAAGGCCUUCUUGCGAAUAGUUAGAAGGAUUGACGGUACUGGAAUAGAAAGCCACGGCUAACUACGUG
rnacentral:rRNA from 1 species